AUCCAACAAUACUUAUUCCAUUCUCAGGAGAUCAGGAAUUCUGCAGAUCAUAGUGGUGAUAAGGCACAUAUAUUUAUUCAAAAGUAUUACUGUGGCUCAAUUUGACCCAGCCGGCUGAGAUGCAGUCUUACAAUACCAACAUUAUAUGACAAUCAAGCUGUGAAACCCUCUCACAAAAAAAUCUAUUGUAUGUCCAUUUCAACAAUUCAGUGGAAAUACAAUGUUCACAAAUAAUUUACUAUAUAUAAUUAACUUCACAUCUUCUUCUGUUAAAUUUAAGUACAGUGAGCACUGUGCUGGAUUUAUUCAAGUUAUGGUAGAAUGCUUCUAAGAAAAUUAAUGUUUCAUACAAAAUAAAUAGUGUUAAGUAUGUUUAUAGUGCUCACACUAAAUGUAAUGAUCUAUAAGCCUACCAUAUUUCAGGACUGUGUUUGCAAUGCAGACUGUAAAAACACUGCCACACAUAGGAAAAUUCCAACUUUAGUAGUCUUGACACUAAAAUAAACCAUAUAAAAUAUGAUAAUAUAUCUGUGUCAAACUUUUCUUCUGUGUGACUCCCACUUACGUAAGAGAGAACCAUAUAUGCCUACCUAAAAGCAGAAUCUGGACAUCAAUUGCUUAUAUUUCUUACAGAGAUCCUUGGAGAAUGAGUUUCCGUAAUGGAUUCUCUCUCUGUCUGAACAAAAAUCAGAAUAAAGAGGAUGCUACCACACUUCUGUGACUGAAAAGGAUCAUAUAUCAUGCAUAUUUACACAGUUUCAUUGCACAAACAUACCUUCUCAAAAUCCCAAUUGUAGAAUGAAGACUGUUCCUCUCUCUCUCUAAUCAGAUCUUGAGUGACAUUGCUUCCUGGCAAAGGACUGGAAGCCAGCAGGCUCACUCAAAGGAAUCAUUUGUUAACUGUGCGACAUUGGACAAGUCACGGGACUUCCUUGUGAUUUAGUCCAUUAUGGGUUGAAAAUAGGGUAAAAAAAUUGGUAAUAAAUUGGACUUUACUAAAAGCAGGUAUUGCAUCUGUAAAGAGCUGCUAGGACCCUGCUCCUGCAUGCUCAUAUAUACAGAUGGACUGCUGCAUCCAUGAGAGCCUCAGUUACUUCAGUGGAGCUCCACAUGGAUACGGGGAUCUGUCUGUGCCUAUGAACUUGUAGGAUCGAGACCUAUAUCACAGCAUUUUAGUCUAGUUUCCUUAGUUUUUAUCCCUUCACAAAGCUCAACAGUUUUCUUCUGGAUCAUGACCUUGGGCCAGAUUUCUGAAGAUAUUUAGGUGCCAAAUACUUAGAUAGAUGCCUAGUAGGAUUUUCAAAUUGCAAAGGCACCUAAUUUCCAUUGAUCAUGAGAGUUAGCUGAUUAUAUGUAGAUUGUGUUUGGGUUACAUACAUGCAUUUUCCAUGACCUAUAUUAUGUAUAUUCAUGCAUAAUACAGUAAUUCAUUUGUUUCUGUAAAAAUGCAAGUUAUUGGUUCAAGUGCAAAUUCCUAACUCCUUUUUUGCAUUAGCAAUUGUUUUGACUAAUAAUGUAAUAGAGCUUUGGGGAUUCUUUAACAUGUUCAUAAGAGUUCUGCUCUCUCUGCAGGAAAAGUAUGUGGCAAAGUAUCUGUUUUCAAAGUAAUUGCUUUUCAAACAUGAUAGAUUUUAAUUUUCAAAUAUAAUUAAUUAAUAAUGUUUAAUUAAGUCCAAAAACUCAUGGGAAAUAGAAGUGUGACCUUAACAGAGAAUGUCGUGUCUAGGGAAAAAUGUAACAAGCAACCUGAUGAAAACAAGUGACUUGAAAGUGAGUAGACAAAGCUGACAGGUAAAGAUGGGUCAGCGCUCAUAUACAGUUUCAGAGAAAGAUCACAGUAUUUGACACAAAAAGUAGGCAGGCACCUGCAUUGAGGAGACUGCACUGCCAGAAGAACAGAUGGUAGUCAGCUAUGAGUUCUGAAAGAUAUAUAAAAAGGCCCCACUUCUGUUCCCUUUAAAUUAAACAGGGGAAGAUUGAUCCCAGGUGUGAGAAGUGGAGAUACUGAGGAUAUGCAAUAUAGAUGAAAUUCACACUAGAGGACUUAAAUGGGGCAUAGAUCUUGUGUGGGCCUGCUACACAGGGGUGAAUUUCACUUUACAUAAUGAACAGCACUUUUUUUUUGAAGACUGCAAAGUCUCUACACAUUGCCUACUUUGAGGAGCCAGGAGAGAUCCUUGGUGAUAUAGAGCAGGGAUGCAAUUCUACAAUACACACUCCUUCAAGUAGAGCUGGGUGAAUAUAGCACAAAGAAUUCCAGUUUUGAGCAACCACUGACACAUCACAAAGAGCUGAAGUGAGUUCACCAAUCCUUAGCUGAAAUGUUUGCAUAAAAUCUUUCAAUAUAUUCCCAGUGAACACAUUAAUAAAAAUCAGAGCCCACUCAUCCAUUAAAAAUAUUCAUCACAAAUCGGUUCCCCAUUCAAGUAAGGGUAACUUGCUUGAGUAAGAGUUGGAGGGUUGGAUGCCAGGUUUCCUGAAUCUCAGGCCUGUGCCUUUAUGGAAAAAAAAAUCCCUCCCUCUGAUACAAUAAAAUAUAGGGCUGCUUUAUAUUAUACAGUAUAUAGUCCAUUAGUGAAACCACAGGAAAAAAAAACAGGAAAGAGUAACCAGAAGAAUUUAAUGCAUGGUGAGAGGCAGUCUAGGCAGCAAGGUCUAGUCCUACUUAGACUGUAAGCUUUUGAGGGCAGGGAUUGUCUUUUUGUUAUGUGUAUGUACAUGGCCUAGUACCAUGGGAUCCUCGUCCCUGGUUGAGACUCCUACAAUGUAUAAUACAAAAAAUAAUAGAUCCCUACUCCCAAAGCACAUUUUAUCCCAUCCUUCUUUAAAAGAAUUAAUAUUGUAUAAUUUUGCUUCUACCUUUGCUAUUAAGGUAAAAUCUUUUUUUUAACUUUGUCUCCCUUGUUAGGCUGGACACAGCUCUCUAAAGAGCUCAUCAGUGCCCCUUCUGGCAUUGGUCACAGGUUUCUUUCAAGCAGUUCUCUCUGUUUGAUGGGCUGAGCCUGCUGCCUUCAGGCUGCUGGGGGAUGGCCUGAUGAGCUUGAUUACUGGAAUUUCUGAGAGUGGCUGCCUUCCACAUACACAAGGGGGAGCUCAUCACCAACCAAAAGGCCCUAGUCUUAUCUUGUGCUGCUCUUGCAGUGUUGCCAACUCAUGAUUUUGUCAUGAGUCUCAUUAUAAUUACUGUUUUCCUUAAAGCCCCAGCUCCUGGAGUCAAGGGGAUAUGUGAUGAUUUCAACCUUCAUUCUAAAACAAAAAAAGUUUUUAGCACUCGUGGCUGUAGAGAAAGCUUCAAAAUGUGAGCCCAGUGCACCCAAAGGCUAAAUAUAAUUCUAGAACCUAACAGGCUACUUCCUCCAUCAAGACUGUUGCUGCCAAACAAAAUCUGAAAUUAUAAUGAAAAAUAAUCAAGUUAACAACAAUGAACAUUCGAACAUUCUGCUCAGUCUAUUAAACACUAUCUACAUAGUCAAGAUUUUGGAACUCAUCAAGGAGAUCUUCUGAUGUGCCUGAUCCCUCCCUCUUAACAGGUGUUAUAGGAACAGUACAAUAGAAGGACUCUUCUCUAAAAGAUAAAGAAAAAAAAAAGGAAGACAGAGGGCAG